GAUGAACGCUGGCGGCGUGCCUAAUACAUGCAAGUCGAGCGAACAGACGAGGGGCUUGCUCCUCUGACGUUAGCGGCGGACGGGUGAGUAACACGUGGAUAACCUACCUAUAAGACUGGGAUAACUUCGGGAAACCGGAGCUAAUACCGGAUAAUAUAUUGAACCGCAUGGUUCAAUAGUGAAAGACGGUUUUGCUGUCACUUAUAGAUGGAUCCGCGCCGCAUUAGCUAGUUGGUAAGGUGACGGCUUACCAAGGCAACGAUGCGUAGCCGACCUGAGAGGGUGAUCGGCCACACUGGAACUGAGACACGGUCCAGACUCCUACGGGAGGCAGCAGUAGGGAAUCUUCCGCAAUGGGCGAAAGCCUGACGGAGCAACGCCGCGUGAGUGAUGAAGGUCUUCGGAUCGUAAAACUCUGUUAUUAGGGAAGAACAAAUGUGUAAGUAACUAUGCACGUCUUGACGGUACCUAAUCAGAAAGCCACGGCUAACUACGUG
rnacentral:rRNA from 1 species